rnacentral:rRNA from 1 species
UACGUAGGGGGCAAGCGUUAUCCGGAAUUACUGGGUGUAAAGGGAGCGUAGACGGUUGUACAAGUCUGAUGUGAAGGCCCACGGCUCAACUGUGGGAGUGCAUUGGAAACUGUAGAACUAGAGUAUCGGAGAGGCAAGUGGAAUUCCUAGUGUAGCGGUGAAAUGCGUAGAUAUUAGGAGGAACACCAGUGGCGAAGGCGGCUUGCUGGACGAAAACUGACGUUGAGGCUCGAAAGCGUGGGGAGCAAACAGG